rnacentral:rRNA from 1 species
GAGAUAGAGCUUCCCCUUCGGGGGCAAAGUGACAGGUGGUGCAUGGUUGUCGUCAGCUCGUGUCGUGAGAUGUUGGGUUAAGUCCCGCAACGAGCGCAACCCUUAUUGUUAGUUGCCAUCAUUUAGUUGGGCACUCUAGCGAGACUGCCGGUGACAAACCGGAGGAAGGUGGGGAUGACGUCAAAUCAUCAUGCCCCUUAUGACCUGGGCUACACACGUGCUACAAUGGGAAGUACAACGAGUUGCGAAGUCGCGAGGCUAAGCUAAUCUCUUAAAGCUUCUCUCAGUUCGGAUUGUAGGCUGCAACUCGCCUACAUGAAGCCGGAAUCGCUAGUAAUCGCGGAUCAGCACGCCGCGGUGAAUACGUUCCCGGGCCUUGUACACACCGCCCGUCACACCACGAGAGUUUGUAACACCCGAAGUCGGUGAGGUAACCUUUUUGGAGCCAGCCGCCUAAGGUGGGAUAGAUGAUUGGGGUGAAGUCGUAACAAGG